AGUGAACGCUGGCGGUAGGCCUAACACAUGCAAGUCGAACGGCAGCACAGUAAGAGCUUGCUCUUACGGGUGGCGAGUGGCGGACGGGUGAGGAAUACAUCGGAAUCUACUUUUUCGUGGGGGAUAACGUAGGGAAACUUACGCUAAUACCGCAUACGACCUACGGGUGAAAGCAGGGGACCUUCGGACCUUGCGCGAUUGAAUGAGCCCAUGUCGGAUUAGCUAGUUGGCGGGGUAAAGGCCCACCAAGGCGACGAUCCAUAGCUGGACAGAGAGGAUGAACAACCACACGGGAACUGGGAAACGGUCCAGACUCCUACGGGAGGCAGCAGUGGAGAAUAUUGGCCAAUGGGCGCAAGCCUGAUCCAGCCAUACCGCGUGGGUGAAGAAGGCCUUCGGGUUGUAAAGCCCUUUUGUUGGGGAAGAAAAGCAGCAGGUUAAUACCCCGCUGUUCUGACGGUACCCAAAGAAUAAGCACCGGCUAACUUCGUG
rnacentral:rRNA from 1 species